GCAGAGAGUAAGAUUUAAACCCAGGUUCUUCUGCUGAGGCCAAGAUUGAGGUCCCGUGGUUGAAAGGUCUGUAAAUGCUGUGAUGUCUAAAGAUCUGAGUAUCAGGAUGGGGAAGAAACAGAAGUGGCGAGUCCCAUCGAGAGAGCACAUAAGGAAUGGACCCGGAAGACCUGGCUAAAAUCUUUUCAUCAUCUCCUGCCAACAUUCAGCCAUGUCCCAUUUUGGAAGGUAA